rnacentral:rRNA from 1 species
GAUGAACGCUGGCGGCGUGCCUAAUACAUGCAAGUCGAACGCAUAGCGAAAGGUGCUUGCACCUUUCAAGUGAGUGGCGAACGGGUGAGUAACACGUGGACAACCUGCCUCAAGGCUGGGGAUAACAUUUGGAAACAGAUGCUAAUACCGAAUAAAACUUAGUGUCGCAUGACACAAAGUUAAAAGGCGCUUCGGCGUCACCUAGAGAUGGACCCGCGGUGCAUUAGUUAGUUGGUGGGGUAAAGGCCUACCAAGACAAUGAUGCAUAGCCGAGUUGAGAGACUGAUCGGCCACAUUGGGACUGAGACACGGCCCAAACUCCUACGGGAGGCUGCAGUAGGGAAUCUUCCACAAUGGGCGAAAGCCUGAUGGAGCAACGCCGCGUGUGUGAUGAAGGCUUUCGGGUCGUAAAGCACUGUUGUAUGGGAAGAACAGCUAGAAUAGGAAAUGAUUUUAGUUUGACGGUACCAUACCAGAAAGGGACGGCUAAAUACGUG